rnacentral:rRNA from 1 species
AGUGAACGCUGGCGGUAGGCCUAACACAUGCAAGUCGAACGGCAGCACAGUAAGAGCUUGCUCUUACGGGUGGCGAGUGGCGGACGGGUGAGGAAUACAUCGGAAUCUACUUUUUCGUGGGGGAUAACGUAGGGAAACUUACGCUAAUACCGCAUACGACCUACGGGUGAAAGCAGGGGAUCUUCCCACCUCGCGCGAUUGAAUGAGCCGAUGUCGGAUUAGCUAGUUGGCGGGGUAAAGGCCCACCAAGGCGACGAUCCGUAGCUGGUCUGAGAGGAUGAUCAGCCACACUGGAACUGAGACACGGUCCAGACUCCUACGGGAGGCAGCAGUGGGGAAUAUUGGACAAUGGGCGCAAGCCUGAUCCAGCCAUACCGCGUGGGUGAAGAAGGCCUUCGGGUUGUAAAGCCCUUUUGUUGGGAAAGAAAAGCAGCAGGUUAAUACCCCGCUGUUCUGACGGUACCCAAAGAAUAAGCACCGGCUAACUUCGUG